UACGAAGGGUGCGAGCGUUAUUCGGAAUCACUGGGCGUAAAGGGCGCGUAGGCGGUGCUCUAAGUCGGCGGUUAAAAACCAUGGCUUAACUGUGGGAAUGCCGGCGAUACUGGAGUGCUAGAGUAUGGUAGAGAGGAGUGGAAUUCUCGGAGUAGCGGUAAAAUGCGUAGAUCUCGAGAGGAACACCGAUGGCGAAGGCAGCUCCUUGGGCCAUAACUGACGCUAAGGCGCGAAAGCGUGGGGAGCAAACAGG
rnacentral:rRNA from 1 species